GUGCUCGAUUUGGCAGCACAUAUUACUGAAAUUGAAACGACACAGAGAUGAUUAGCAUGGCCCCUGUGCAAGGAUGACACGCAAAUUCAUGAAGCUUUCCAUAUUUUU